UACGAGUGCCUCGAGCGUUAUCCGGAAUCAUUGGGCGUAAAGGGUGUGUAGGCGGCUUUGUUAGUCUUCUGUCAAAUUCUUCGGCUUAACCGGGGUACGCAGGGGAAACGGCAAGGCUUUGAGGAUGCGAGGGGUUUGCGGAACUCUAGGUGUAGGGGUGAAAUCCGUUGAUAUCUAGGGGAACACCAAAAGCGAAGGCAGCAAACUGGCGCAUUCCUGACGCUGAAACACGAAAGCGUGGGGAUCGAACGGG
rnacentral:misc_RNA from 1 species